rnacentral:rRNA from 1 species
UACGAAGGGGGCUAGCGUUGUCCGGAAUCAUUGGGCGUAAAGCGCGCGUAGGUGGCCAUUUAAGUCCGCUGUGAAAGUCAGAGGCUCAACCUUUGAAAGCCGGUGGAUACUGGAUGGCUAGAGUACGGAAGAGGCGAGUGGAAUUCCUGGUGUAGCGGUGGAAUGCGCAGAUAUCAGGAGGAACACCAAUAGCGAAGGCAGCUCGCUGGGACGUUACUGACACUAAGGCGCGAAAGCGUGGGGAGCGAACAGG